rnacentral:rRNA from 1 species
AGUGAACGCUGGCGGUAGGCCUAACACAUGCAAGUCGAACGGCAGCACAGUAAGAGCUUGCUCUUACGGGUGGCGAGUGGCGGACGGGUGAGGAAUACAUCGGAAUCUACUUUUUCGUGGGGGAUAACGUAGGGAAACUUACGCUAAUACCGCAUACGACCUACGGGUGAAAGCAGGGGAUCUUCGGACCUUGCGCGAUUGAAUGAGCCGAUGUCGGAUUAGCUAGUUGGCGGGGUAAAGGCCCACCAAGGCGACGAUCCGUAGCUGGUCUGAGAGGAUGAUCAGCCACACUGGAACUGAGACACGGUCCAGCCUCCUACGGGAGGCAGCAGUGGGGAAUAUUGGACAAUGGGCGCAAGCCUGAUCCAGCCAUACCGCGUGGGUGAAGAAGGCCUUCGGGUUUUAAAGCCCUUUUGUUGGGAAAGAAAAGCAGCAGGUUAAUACCCCGCUGUUCUGACGGUACCCAAAGAAUAAGCACCGGCUAACUUCGUG